GCAACGACAGCUUUAAGGUACAUUCGAGCAUCGGUCUUGUAAACCGAAGGUCGGGGUUCAAAUCCCCUUCGCUGCU
rnacentral:tRNA from 1 species